CUCAGUCCCUCUGUCUCUGCCAACCAGUUAACCUGCUGCUUCCUGGAGGAAGACAGUCCCUCUGUCUCUGCCAACCAGUUAACCUGCUGCUUCCUGGAGGAAGACAGUCACUCUGUCUCUGCCAACCCAGUUGACCGCAGACAUGCAGGUCUGCUCAGGAUAGGUGGAGAAACACAUGAAGCACAACUGCAGUGGAUUAUAAAAAAUGGCCUUUCGAGUUGAGCAAUAAAUUCGUUCAAGCAGCCAUUCUGAAGGACAAACGUGGCUCUGUAUUUAAGAGGGGCAUUCCAGCACUUCUCUAGCCACUGGGUUGACAACGACUCACCAAAGCCUCUGGUAGCCACCACAGGACACCCAGAGCAUAUGUUUUAAAGCUGAACACCAAACUGCGGACUUCGGGAGUAAGUGAACUGACUGGUUUUUAUUUUGUUUUACUGCUUUUAACAUUACAGUAACUGUUACAGGUUCCAGCAGGCUAACUGGGUGGAAAUGAGUUUGGUUUCACUUAGUCUCUCUAAAGAGAAAGCAAGUCGGUAGACUAAUACCUAAUAAAAGCAAAGCUGCCAACAAUUGAAAUUGCCUGGGCUGCUCUGUGUGUCCCACAUGCAUGGGUGUGGGUGCCAGUGUGUGUGCGUGUGUGCAUGCAUGUGCAUGUGUGUUGGGAUAGAGUGGUAAGAAAAUGGGAAAUAAUAAGAAUGUUCAGUCCAUAGCCCUUCAUUAUAAAAAGGUGAGCUGUAA